rnacentral:lncRNA from 1 species
CAGAAUUUGUAUUUGUAAUUCGGACUUCUGGGGAAGACCCUGAAGUCCUGCCCUGGAUGAAAGUCCGAGGGUUGCUUGAUUUGAUCUGCGCAGAAUUUGUAAUUUGUAUUUGAUCUGCGCAGAAUUUGUAAUUGAACCAUAGGGUAAGCAGACUUGCGAGAACCUUGGUUCCACCCUGGAUGAAAGUCCAAGGUUUGGUUGUAAUUUUGGUUUGGGGCACCAUUUCUUUGCCGCGGUUUGUCCUGUCUAAUGUUUGUGCUGUCUAAUGUGCUGUCAUUUGUGUUAUGUGUUUCUUAAGCAUCUCUUUCUGUCCCACAUUGCCCAUGCACGUGGCAUGCAUGGGUCAGGGGUCUUUUCUUGUUGCCCUAAGCACAUGGCACGGGAAAGGAGUUCUGCCAUGUGUCACGGGUUAGAAUGUGUUAUGUUGGAGUCCCCCGAUGCUGCUUUUCUGAACUCGAACCACUGCUGCAGCCCUUACAGCUGAGCCUGGCCCAUGUAGUUUAUAAUGUCAGACAGACUGCCAGAUCCGGACAGUGACCCAAAGUCUCCAAAGAAGAUUACGAGGCACCUCAGUUCCUGCACCUGGACCAGUGAGCGAGAUGCUCAGAUGUGAAACCUGCCGCCUGCCAGAACCUGGCCGAGAAUGUGGACAAAGCUGCUGGACACUGGAAAAUUGAUUGUACCCCUUUGCCUAGACAAAACAAGGUCAGUCUUUUCCAUGUCCCUCUUCCACAGAGAGGAAAAAAACUCUCACAGUAUAGGCCUGGCGAAGAUUGCUGUUCUUUGAGACAGCUGCCUCCAACGGUAAUGGAGAAACUUGGGUGUGGCUAACUGUAUAUAGACUGGCUUCUGUCACUUUUCAGUAGAUUCGGAUAAAAUAUACCCUUCUCAGAUCUCUGAAAUAUUACUGGUUGUCAGCUUGACAGCAUCAGUCAGUCAGAUCCACUAUAGACUAGUCAGUAUGUUAGCUGAUAAAAUAGUAACUAUCUACUGUUCAGGCACGAGCUCAAGGUUUUUAAGUUUAUUUUGGUUGUCAUCUAAGUACAAACUUAAAGGGCUUUUCAUCAGGCCAAAGGCACCUCUGUCCAAUCCAUACCUGGCUCUCUGGACAGAAGAAAAAUGUACAUGCUUAUAGCCCAAAUCUGCAGUUUUUGCUAGGACUCAAAGUUAUAAAUAUGUUCCUGCUGUUUAAACAGAUAUUGCUUUUUCUGCACUGUGGGCUUCAGUAAAUAAGUUUUAACCUCUGUUCCUAGUUUAAACAUGUCUUAAACAGGUUUCUGCUUCUGGCAGACAUCUGAGUAUCAGUUGCUGACUACCGGCUGUUCUAAGUAGACUGCGAGCCCUAGACUUGCUGUGGAUGUAAACCAGUCCAGCUGAUGUGGACACCCCCUAUCUCUGCAACAGUGUCUUCUAACCAGAAGCCCCUGAUGAAUUCCCCAUUGCCUAAAUUCCUUUUUGCUUUUGACUAGCAUUUCAACCUUCUGGGGUCCCUAACUUCGUCCCAAAGUCAGCAGGAAGCAGUUUGGAAAAGAAUUUCGCCGUCCAUUUUCCCUGGUUAAAAUGCUAAGUCAAAAGGAACUCCCUUGCAUGGGGAUGCCAGUAUCUAUCACUCCCUGAUGGGGAUGCUAGAGAGACAGCAAUUCCAUGAUUGGAAUUUACAAAAAAGAAAAUGGGGGAAUGAAGGAACCGGCUUCCCUUUUGGCAGCCAUAACAGCCGAACACGUGCUUGCCAUAAACCUGCCUUGGUCACUUAGAGGUCAGAUGCCUGUCUCGUGACAAGGAACCUUAGUCACUAAAAGGUCAGAUGCCUGUCUUGUGACAAGGAACCAAUCAGAAGUUAGCUGGUGGCGCUAUGCUUUACGACCCUGGGUGUGCUUUACGGACAAGCGCACGACAAUGACGUAGAGAGCAUAGCAACCACCCUGGGAGGGCCUAUGAGCCAUAACAACCAGUUGACCAAUCAACACAGGGCAAGCCCUCCAAGCCUGGAGGCACACCAAUCGUGAGCCUGUGCGUACCCCUAGACACUCCCCUU